UACGUAGGGUGCGAGCGUUGUCCGGAAUUAUUGGGCGAAAGGGCUCGUAGGCGGUUUGUCGCGUCGGGGAGUGAAAACACCGGGCUUAACUCGGUGCUUGCUUUCGAUACGGGCAGACUAGAGGCAUGCAGGGGAGAACGGAAUUCCUGGUGUAGCGGUGAAAUGCGCAGAUAUCAGGAGGAACACCGGUGGCGAAGGCGGUUCUCUGGGAGUAUCCUGACGCUGAGGAGCGAAAGUGUGGGGAGCGAACAAG
rnacentral:rRNA from 1 species